UCUUUAGACCUGUGCAAUGGGUGUCUGAGGUAACGUGUCAGGGUAGGAAUACAGCAGCACACUUCAAGCACUUAUGUGCCGCAGCCAUCUGGAGAGAG
rnacentral:SRP_RNA from 1 species